AUUGAACGCUGGCGGCAGGCUUAACACAUGCAAGUCGAGCGGAGAUGAGGUGCUUGCACCUUAUCUUAGCGGCGGACGGGUGAGUAAUGCUUAGGAAUCUGCCUAUUAGUGGGGGACAACAUUCCGAAAGGAAUGCUAAUACCGCAUACGCCCAACGGGGGAAAGCAGGGGAUCUUCGGACCUUGCGCUAAUAGAUGAGCCUAAGUCGAAUUAGCUAGUUGGUGGGGUAAAGGCCUACCAAGGCGACGAUCUGUAGCGGGUCUGAGAGGAUGAUCCGCCACACUGGGACUGAGACACGGCCCAGACUCCUACGGGAGGCAGCAGUGGGGAAUAUUGGACAAUGGGCGGAAGCCUGAUCCAGCCAUGCCGCGUGUGUGAAGAAGGCCUUUUGGUUGUAAAGCACUUUAAGCGAGGAGGAGGCUACUUAGAUUAAUACUCUAGGAUAGUGGACGUUACUCGCAGAAUAAGCACCGGCUAACUCUGUGCCAGCCGCCGCCGUAACAC
rnacentral:rRNA from 1 species